GGGAGUUAACAAGCAUAGCAGAGAUUAUUUCAGGGAUGACAAGAGGAGACCAUAUUUCUCAAAUGAAUUGAUUGAAUUUGUAUUUCCGAUCCGGUCUGAAACUUCACCUAGUAGGGAUAAAGGAAGACCCUCAAAAGGGAACCGUGGGAUCGAAAGAUUGAUAAGCAUACCACCGAACGUACUCACGCGCAAACCUAUCAACUGAGUUGCAACUUCUAUGUGUGUGAGGCUCUUAGCACCUCACUCAUCGAGCUUGGCCUCGUGGUCAGUCGCCAAACGUUCGACAUAACUCCAGUAGAAUGAUAAAUGGUAAAUAAGUUCCUUCCGUAGAAUGAGAUAAAUGGGAAAGAAGUUAUCGGGCGCGGGGCAAUCAGUGCCUUACCGGCCUCUGCUCUUUUCUUUCAAGUCUUUGUCUUUUAGCUAAGGCCUUCUGCUUUUCUUUCUUAUGUGCUGUCAUCCUUUCCAAAUUCCUUUUUCAUAACAGUAGUUUCGAACAGAUACAACCCGCGAAAGCCCAGACUUAUACUUAGAGACGGUUAUAUCAAAGAAAAAAGGAAAAGGCAAGCGGGAAGGCUUACCUUUCGAUCCAAUUUGCAAGCCGCACGUAACUAUGAGAUUGAUUUGGGUUGCACUACACUAUGAGAUUGAUUUGGUUUUAUACGGAUUAAGAGCAGAACCUUUCAUGAUAGAUACUCGCUUCACCAAACUUAUGGCUCUAUCUCGAUCUCGGACUACGUAUAGAAACACUUCCCAUAGAAUGAAGGAUUUGACCUAUGCUUUCAAGUGCGAACAGAGACGUUGCUAGGCUAAGGCUCAGAGAGGUGGUUGUGGUAUCGGGAUGUGGUAUGAAGAAAAAACAUAAAAGGAAGGCGCAUAUCGUAGUAUAGGUAUUGCAUAAUCUGUGCUGUAGCUAUUUAUUCGUGGGGUGGUUCAUAGCUACGGAUCUAUUCGAUUCAUUCCAUUCUAAGGGGCAUCUGCCUUCCCUAGAAUCGGGAUUACAUUCUAUUCGGUUGAGUGCCCAAGGCGGGGUGGAACUUUUCAAAAGCAAGUAGCACUCAAAAGGGUAGAACCCAUUCCGUUCAUGGAAAGCACUAGCUGCCCGGCCUGUUACCCAUGAAUCUGUGUUCGGCAAUAGAUCCAAACAGGGGGGAAAUAAUGAAAUCCUGCGUUGAUCACCAGAUCGUGUAAUUGGAUUGGCGGAUGCUCUAAGACAAAGCGGUCGAACUCAAGCAUUUGGUUUGACAAGAAGCAAUGGCUCGGACAGCCGAUUCUACCGUACUUGGAUUAAGGUUUGAUUGGGCUGGGCGCGUGGUGGUCACUUAUGCCAGAGCCCCUACUUGCACUUGAAAAAAGAAAGAACCUUUUGCUUUCUGCUCACCAUCAUACGCGUGCGCUAUUAAAGAAGCCGCACAAUGACCAACGAGUAAUCUAGGCUUUUUGUGUAUUCAUUCAAACCAGUUCUAUGAUAAAGGUGGUCUACGAUCACGUUCACGAAACCGGAAGUCAAAGACCCUAGAAAGCCUAAGCCCGAUAAUCGAACAGUGGCUUUGGCUGUUAUGGUUGCUUUCAUUAUUAUGAGCCUAACGCUAGGAGAAUCAACAACUGAGCAGGGAAGAGUACAAUGAAUCAUCGAUUCCAAAUGGCUAGGUGGGACUUACUUUCUUUUGACUCUUUGUUGUGGGUGGUAAUAGGUUGUAGGGUGGGCCUUGACUUCGGUGCUUUUUAUUGAAUCUGUUUCUAUCUACUUUGACACUGAAUCACUUACAGCAACAGAACAAGUAGACUACACUAGAACUGGAACAGACCCUACCACUGACUUUGACACCGCUGAUUCAUUCUCAUCGACUUAACCGAGAUAUACAGACCCGAUAGCUGCAUACUUUAACACUGCUGAUUCUAUCUCUCCGACCUAAACUUGCUUCUUUACAGUUUCUUCUGCUGACUCAACAAGCAAAUCAUAUCCCUCCGCUUAUUACUCUGAUUCUAUUAUUUCUUAUUUCUUCUAUACAAGGGCUCGAUUACCUUCUUAAUUCCUUACACGCGAGGAUCAAUCCUCUUCUUAUGAUUACCGAGAUAGAUCUCUCUGGAGCAAGUGGUUAUGUUCGAGGUUCCUCUCUUUUCGAAUGCCGAGGUUAGCUUAGCCCAUGGAGCGGUUAAAAGGCUAAAGGAAAGAAAAGCGAACAAAUGCUAUUAGGCUUAGGCGGCUUCUUAAAAGAAAGAGAGAACAUCUGCUUAAGGCAGACUCAGAACUCGCUAACAGAGCUCACUCUCAAAUGCUUUUUGACUUUCUUCUAUUCUUUAGGGUUAAGGGUCCUUCCUAUCCUAUAUCGUGGGAGAGCACUUCUUUCUAUUCUUUAGGGUUAUAGGGUCCUAUCUUAUCUUACGAGAGAGCACUCAAUUCGUUGUUUCUUUUCAACGGGCGCCUAAGAGCCUACCUUAUACUCCUUAGUUCGGGGAACAAGUCAGUAAGCAAGGGACGAAGACGCAAGGAAAUCCUUCUAAUAAGAAUCAUUCCAUUCAAGUUGACUUUAGAAACCCCAAAAUGUGCUGUUUGACUUUAAGCCGAGGUGUCACUGUCGUCUGCGCUUAAGGAGUUUGCUUGGAGCUUACGGAGCUUAGAAGGGAAGGGAGCAGCUUUGAUCUGCGCUUACGAGUUAUUUUGCUUGGGUGCUCACGUAAGUUCCCUUUACUCGCUUAUAUCAUGUGCGACUUAUUAGUAUCAUUGUCAAUUCCGGGUUCCGGGAUCUCUCAAUUCUUAUCUUCUAUAACAGUGUGCCGAUAGAUAUGUGAUUGAAGCUUUAAAUGUCGUGCGCCGAUAGAUAUGUGAUUGAAGCUUUAAAUGUCGUGCGUCGAUAGAUAUGUGAUUGAAGCUUUAAGUGUAUAUAGUCCCAUAAUCCAAUCAAAGGUUUUAGCUUGUUCCCUAGUAGCGAGCAGUUCCAACAUUGGGCGUUAUAGAGUUGCGCGCAAGAAGGGAGUUUGCCGGCGAUGCAGAAUUCGAAUAUAACAGGAAUAUAACUGAUAUAACUGUAACUGCAAAAUAUGAUAGAAGAAUCCAAAAAGGUAAGGUCCGCACCGGUAAGAGACGG
rnacentral:lncRNA from 1 species